GCCCUACGGGGGGCAGCAGUCGGGAAUAUUGCGCAAUGGAGGAAACUCUGACGCAGUGACGCCGCGUGCAGGAAGAAGGUUUUCGGAUUGUAAACUGCUUUAGACAGGGAAGAAACAAGACAGUACCUGUAGAAUAAGCUCCGGCUAACUACGUGCCAGCAGCCGCGGUAAUACGUAGGGAGCAAGCGUUAUCCGGAUUUAUUGGGUGUAAAGGGUGCGUAGACGGGAAGGCAAGUUGGUUGUGAAAUCCCUCGGCUUAACUGAGGAACUGCAACCAAAACUAUUCUCCUUGAGUGUCGGAGAGG
rnacentral:rRNA from 1 species